UUAUCUGCUUAAAUUAAAGGCAGUUGGACUCGACAGUGAUCCUUACAACUUACCAAAGAACCAGUGCAUGGACAUUCAACAAGAAAUCGGAGCUGUUGUUUUACAGUCUGCCGAAAACUAAAGAAAAGAGAAGCAAAUGCAUCGCUGCAGUUCACAGAAACAACUUGAAUCCAGGCACCAAAACCUGGAUUUGCGGUUGUUAUUUUGUGUCAGCUGAAAAUGUCAUCAGGGUCAGGGGGUACACCUCCCCAGAGAGUAGCAUCUUUUGGGUAGUCUCCAUCCAGCUUUCUCUCCAUUCCUCUCCUCCCUUCAUCAAACCUCCAAAACUGCCUACCACUGAAUAGCAUCAACUUUUUCAAUUCCUGGGGGGAUCCCAAUCCAGAAUUUCCAUAUCAAAGCUGGGGAAAGAGAAACCGAUGAACCCGACUGCUGGAUCCGCCAGAAAUACGGGCCUGGAACGAGAAGAGCAAAAUCGCUAAUUUGUCACUGUAGGACGGCUGAGUACAAUGUUAUGAACUCCACAGCACUGUGGUCCAAGAAGUGCAUUUUGGACACUGGUUCAAUAUUUUGUUCUCCUACCCUUGAACAAGAAGAUCUCUCCUCUAAUAUGAGCCACUGCAUCAAAGCUCCCAUUGCAGGGAUUGGGAAGAGAGUGGUUUGGCCUGAGAGAAGGAAAGUGUGCAGGUGUAACAGAGGGAGGGGUCAGUGUUACACUGAUGCAGAGAGCCAAGACUGAGAUAGUGUUGCCAGCUAAUAAUAAAACAAUACCACAAUAAUUCAGCCGCCUUGAACAUGACUGCUUUGUCAUACAGAGGCACAUUACUAAUACACGUUCCCAGUAUAUAUAGAAUAAAAUCACACUAUUUGUAUUGCACAGCACACAGAACGGGUUUAACAUGACCUACA